GACGAACCGUGCGAACGUUAUUCGGAAUCACUGGGCUUAAAGCGCGUGUAGGCGGGCGGGCACGUCCGGCGCUGAAAUCCCCCGGCUCAACCGGGGAACGGGCGCGGAUACGACCUUCCUCGAGGGACGUAGGGGGACCUGGAACUUCCGGUGGAGCGGUGAAAUGCGUUGAGAUCGGAAGGAACGCCCGUGGCGAAAGCGAGGUCCUGGACGUUUACUGACGCUGAGACGCGAAAGCCAGGGGAGCGAACGGG
rnacentral:rRNA from 1 species